rnacentral:lncRNA from 1 species
AAAAAAAAGAUGUUUAUUGUAUCAAAUUCACAUAAUGACUCUAAAGAACCGAAUGAAACCAAUCAAACUUCAGAUUCGGUUCACUUUAUCUCAAUCACAAAAGAAAUCAAUCAUUCAGUAUGGGAUAGAUACAAUAGAAGCCAUAAUCAAAAUGAGUACAACUUUUUUGUAAGUCACAUUUUAAAAUCUGGUCUUCUAAAACAUCUUUGGAUAUGUUGUGACUACUUUAUUUUUUAGGUUUUAAAGCACGAUAAUAAAUAUUACAAAGUAAAAGAACAAAUACAGGAAGAGAAAUAUUUGGAAUGCACCAUGUACUUGUGUUGUGUGUGUAACAGCAGCAGCAGCCACAACUUGUACAAGCCAAAUUGAAUAUCUUUUUUUUUAAGCUUUGUGUGGAUAAAGGCGAAUUGGAAGAUCCUUUGCAGGGAUGGGGAAUGGAUCAACAAUAAUCUUCUCAUCUGGAAUCACCUUUUCCCACUUAAACCUUUUCACCAAAUUGUGCAUGAAAACAAGUAUUUCUAAUCUUGCAUACUCUUUUCCAGGACACAUCCUUGGUCCUCCACCAAAGGGAACAAAAGUAUAAGGAGCUGGUCCAUUUCCUUCAAAUCUUGUUGGGUCAAAUUUCUCUGGCAUGGGAAAACAUUCUGCGUUCUUAUGUGUUGAAUUUGCACUCCAAUAAAGCUACACAUAUAAAUCAAAUUAGUUCCCACAAAAUAUAUAUGAUUGAAACCAAAAAGUAAAAGAGAUAUAUGAGUUCAAUUACCUUCCAUCCCUUAGGAAUUGAGAAUCCAUUGAACAUAAAGUCAGUGAUGGCUUCCCUGAAACCUCCUUGGAGUGGAGGGGAAAGUCUCAUUACUUCACAAGCUACGUUCCAAGAGUAUUUCAUUUUCUUCAGGUCAUCCCAAUUCAACAAUUCUCCUGCUGGUUUCGAUUUUGCAAUUUCCAUUUGCUCUAAACAGGCAUAUAAUUAGGAACACAGAUUAAAUUGUGUGCAUAUAUCUUGUCCACUUGCUUUUGCUGGCACUUUUUAGUAAAUAAUAUUAAAUUAUUAUAAUUUUAAAUGAUAGAAAAUAUUAUUUAAAAAAAAAAGUUAUACAAGUUAUCGUUAAUUAUAUACAAGUUAUACAAGUUUCCUUAAAAAAAAGUUGUUGAAACUAAAUUCCAAUUCUGCUUUUGGGGUUGACAGGGUUAUUCAAUUUUUAUUCUAGCCAGUGGUUUAAAAAUAAAAUCAAUUCUGGUUCAAGAUCUAAGUAAACCUUAGUCGACAAGACCGAUGGAGUGCAAAAACAGAAUAAGACUUGAGGGGCACUAUAUUGCAAACAAGCUAAGUAUAAUCUUUAUUUAUUUCAUGAUGAAGUUUCCUAAAAGAAUUGUUUCUUGAGGAGGUUUAUAAAAAGAAUUGUUUUAUGAUUAAUAUAAAGAAAAAUUGAGAAAUCUUUUAUAUUCUUUUGAAAGAAUAAUUUUUUUAAAAAUGAUAAAUUAAUGUAUAUAAUUAAUAUAUUUUUAAUUUUAAGAAUGUUAUAACAAAAUAGAUUUAAUUUAAAGAAUAAAAAAUCUGAAGAAUAUCCAAUCCAAUUUUUGAGUUCGAAAGAUUUUAUAUUAUAAAAAAACAGUAAAUCCUCUACUUUUUUCAAUACUAUUUUUCUACUAGAAGAAUGUUAAACAAUACCCCCAUAAACAUUGAUUGAACAUUCAAAAGAAAUAAGAACCAUAAAGUAGAAGAUUUACUUUAAAAUCGCAUACCAAACCUUAGGUCAAAUACCCUAAUUACUAUGGAUGAAUGACUUUCUUUUUUGGUUAAAGUGGGACUCACUCAAAUUUUGUCAAAAAUAGCACGAAAUUAGACCCAUAAACUCCUACGUAAAUAAUGAAGUCAGCUUUGAAAAUUAUUUUGGAGAAUCAAGUUCAAACAUUAACCGAAUCAUAUGAGAUUCGGUGAGAGUUUGACAUACUCCUGUUAAGAGGCAUUCUUCAUAUUUAUUGAAAAUUCUGACUUGUAGAGUUAGCUUUAAAUAUUCGGUGCUGUGUGUGAAUGAUUGUCUGCUAUUUUUAUUUUUUUGUGUUUUAAAAAUAACACAAAAAGAAAAAACAGUGUUUUAAAAUUAAAACAAAGAUAAAAAAAACUACCAUCUCAUUGAUGAGUAUUUAAUAUUUGUAGAAGUAUGUUCUGGAUUUUAAAUCAAUGAUGAGAAAAGAAGUUUGAAUGGAAGAAUAGAUUAAAAUAAUAUUUACUUUCCUGUCUUAAAAUAGUAUAUGUUCGUCUUUUUCAUGAAAAUAAAAGGAAACGUAACUUUUCUUUUACCAAAAGAAACAAAGAAAAAACAUAAAAAAGCCAUUAUUGAUAUUAAUGUUGACUUUGUUACAAGUAGCUUAGAAAAUCAUAAAAACAAGACACUCUCACGUAAGACAAAAAGGGAAAAGAACAACUUUUCAUUUUAAUGAAUUCUUUGCUUUCUUUCUUACUUUUCUAAGCUUUGAUUUGAAAAUAAUAAUGUUCACGUAAAUGCGACAUCAGAUUUUGAAGUCAUUCUAAGACCGACACAACACACAAUUUUUUUAGAAAAAGUGUGAAAUCUACUGACGAAAUUAUUUGAUAAAAAUUUGAUUUUUUUUCGAAUAAAAAAAUUGAAAAUUAUUAAUACUUGCAUGUUACUUAUAUUCCCUAAGCUAUAGUACAUCAUGCAUAAAGUUAGGCCAGCUAUUGGUAAUUGACUGUGAUGUUGGUAUUGACAUGUGAUUUGAGCAUUGGGUAAUUCGCUAAUUGGGUUUAAUGAAAACAAAAUUAACUAUUUAGAAAAUAUUUUUUAAACUUCGAUUAAUAAAAUAAUGAGAAAAGUUAACGAGACACUCUUUAAAGAAUAUAAAUAAUAAGUAUUUAUAAAAAAAAAUGUAUAAUUAAUGCAUUGAAAAACAAAACAUUUGGUAUUAUUAUCUGACAAGCUAUUCACAUUAACAAAUCUCGAGGUAAUCUCACAUUGUUUUGAGAUGAAAUGCAUAGACAAAAAAGUAUUUCUAUUAUUAGAAAAGAAGUGUUUGCAUAAGUACUAUCGCUAUUAUUCAAAAAUCAUAGAUUCUUCAUUUUGCCUAUGAGAAAACAAUAGUAUAAUUUACCGUUUCAAUAUAGACAAUUGAUUUUUAGAGUGAAAUCCCAAAGAGAAAGAUAGAGAGAAUUGGAAAUGGAUGUGUAUGAAAAUUAAAUGAUACACAUACCUUGAUAGACUUUAUCAUAAAUGUGAGGUAACUCGCCGAGAUAUUUGACAAGGAAAGUGCAUGCGACGCUAGCAGUGUCAUGUCCUCCGAUCAAAAGGCCAAGAAUCUUAUCAGCAAUAUUAAGUUCAUUCAUACUCUUUCCAUUUUCAUCACUUGUCAACAACAUGUGAGACAAUAUAUCUUGUGUUGGUGAUGCUGUCCCUUCUGCCAAAUCUACCCUCCUUUGCUUUAUGAUCUUAAUCAACUCCUUUCUUAUAAAGUUUGAGGCCUUUAUAGCUUUGUUGAAUGGUGUUCCUGGCAAAUCAAUUGGUAGAGAUAUGAUUCCGGCCGCAAUUAACUGAAAUGGAUCACUAAAUUUUGCUACAUGAUUCUCGUCUUCAACGCUCAUGAACAACCGACAAGCUAACAAAAAGGUGUACCUGUUGAGUGUUAUUAUCGACAAAUCAAUUAAAUCUUCAUAGUUCAAUGAAAUGAAAUUUGAGAAAUUUAUAUUUUAACUCAAACAAAUUAAUCAUGUCUAAAAUGCAAUUUAGAAAAAAAGAUGUCGUUAACUUAACUCGAUAUUCACUAAACAAUCAAGAUCAACAAAUAAAAAUAUUUCAUAUAUGAAUUUAAUCUUAGGUACGUAAACUAAUACUAUAUAUUUACUUAAUAUGUAUGUAUGUGACAAGCAACAAUAAUAAAUUAAAAAAAAAAAUGAAACAUGCAUGUAAACGAAUUAAUUGAAGAGAAUGAAUGAAAGGUUUCGUGAGAUAUUUAUUAAUAUGACCUCUUGGCCAAGGGGUAGACGGUGAUUUCAUUUUUAUUAUCCCAAUGAGUAACAAAAUGUCUUUGAGCAAUAACAUCCAUGACACCAACAUAACGUUGUAGAGCUUCGGGUUUAAAGAAUUGUGGAAGCAAUUUUCUCAUCUUGAUGGAUUCUUCCUUCAAGUUAGAGUCAAGAGAAGUAGUAGGGAAGAUUUUGUUUACACUAUCUGGCCACCAUGCAGUCACAAGUUUAUUCUCGUUUGAAAACAAAAACUUGUUACUUGCUGCUCCGCAACAAACCACCGUAGAUUCUCCUACGAUUGAUGUUUUAAAGAGUUCUGAGGAAUAUUUACGCAUACGGUCGAAAAUGAAUUUUUCAGGAUGUCCUUUCCAUCCUGUUGAUAAGAACUCAAGGCUUUCACCUAUGAUUGGGUAACCCAUUUUACCAGGUGGCAAAUUUAAUGGAGAUUUCUGUUUGUAGAAUAUGAAAAAAAGAGAGAGAGAUAUGAAAGUGACAAAGAGAAGGAGAAGGGAGAGAUAGAAAUUAGGCUCCAUGCUUUUUUUGUGACUAACAAAACUUGUU